CAGGCCGCUGGGAUCCCUUCGGGGUGACCUUGGCGCUGACGAGUGGCGGACGGGUGAGUAAUGCGUAGGAAUUUACCUCAAAGCGGGGGAUAGCCCGGAGAAAUCCGGAUUAAUACCGCAUGUGCUCUACGGAGGAAAGCGGGCCUCUACUUGUAAGCUCGCACUUUGAGAUAAGCCUACGUCGGAUUAGCUUGUUGGUAGGGUAAAAGCCUACCAAGGCGACGAUCCGUAGCUGGUUUGAGAGGAUGAUCAGCCACACCGGAACUGAGACACGGUCCGGACUCCUACGGGAGGCAGCAGUGGGGAAUAUUGGACAAUGGGCGAAAGCCUGAUCCAGCAAUGCCGCGUGUGUGAAGAAGGCCUGCGGGUUGUAAAGCACUUUUAUCAGGAAAGAAAAUCUCGGGGCUAAUACCCCCGGGCCUUGACGGUACCUGAUGAAUAAGCACCGGCUAACUCUGUGCCAGCAGCCGCGGUAAUACAGAGGGUGCAAGCGUUAAUCGGAAUUACUGGGCGUAAAGCGCGCGUAGGCGGUUUGUUAAGUCGGAUGUGAAAGCCCCGGGCUCAACCUGGGAACUGCAUUCGAUACUGGCAGGCUAGAGUAUGGUAGAGGGAAGUGGAAUUCCGGGUGUAGCGGUGAAAUACGUAGAUAUCGGGAGGAACACCAGUGGCGAAGGCGGCUUUCUGGUCCAAUACUGACGCUGAGGCGCGAAAGCGUGGGGAGCAAACAGGAUUAGAUACCCUGGUAGUCCACGCUGUAAACGAUGAGAACUAGCUGUUCUGACCUUCGGGUCGGAGUAGCGA
rnacentral:rRNA from 1 species